AUUGAACGCUGGCGGAAUGCUUUACACAUGCAAGUCGAACGGCAGCACGGGGGCAACCCUGGUGGCGAGUGGCGAACGGGUAAGUAAUACAUCGGAACGUGCCCGGUCGGGGGGGAUAACGUAGCGAAAGUUACGCUAAUACCGCAUACGAUCUGAGGAUGAAAGCGGGGGACCGUCGGGCCUCGCGCGAUCGGAGCGGCCGAUGUCAGAUUAGGUAGUUGGUGGGGUAAAGGCCUACCAAGCCGACGAUCUGUAGCUGGCCGGAGAGGACGACAAGCCACACUGGGACUGAGACACGGCCCAGACUCCUACGGGAGGCAGCAGUGGGGAAUUUUGGACAAUGGGCGCAAGCCUGAUCCAGCCAUCCCGCGUGCAGGACGAAGGCCUUCGGGUUGUAAACUGCUUUUGUAUGGAACGAAAAGGUUCUGGCUAAUACCUGGGGUUCAUGACGGUACCGUAAGAAUAAGCACCGGCUAACUACGUG
rnacentral:rRNA from 1 species